rnacentral:rRNA from 1 species
UUGAACGCUGGCGGCAGGCCUAACACAUGCACGUCGAACGGUAACAGGAAGCAGCUUGCUGCUUUGCUGACGAGUGGCGGACGGGUGAGUAAUGUCUGGGAAACUGCCCGAUGGAGGGGGAUAACUACUGGAAACGGUAGCUAAUACCGCAUAACGUCGCAAGACCAAAGAGGGGGACCUUAGGGCCUCUUGCCAUCGGAUGUGCCCAGAUGGGAUUAGCUAGUAGGUGGGGUAACGGCUCACCUAGGCGACGAUCCCUAGCUGGUCUGAGAGGAUGACCAGCCACACUGGAACUGAGACACGGUCCAGACUCCUACGGGAGGCAGCAGUGGGGAAUAUUGCACAAUGGGCGCAAGCCUGAUGCAGCCAUGCCGCGUGUAUGAAGAAGGCCUUCGGGUUGUAAAGUACUUUCAGCGGGGAGGAAGGGAGUAAAGUUAAUACCUUUGCUCAUUGACGUUACCCGCAGAAGAAGCACCGGCUAACUCCGUG